CCUACGGGAGACAGCAGUGGGGAAUAUUGGUCAAUGGCCGCAAGCCUGACCCAGCCACGUCGCGUGAAGGAAGAAGGCCUUCGGGUUUUUAACUCCCUUUAAGAGGGAAGAGCAGAACACGGUACCUCUUGAAUAAGCCACGGCUAACUACGUGCCAGCAGCCGCGGUCAUACGUAGGUAGCAAGUGUUGUCCGGAUUUACUGGGUGUAAAGGGCGUGCAGCCGGGAAGACAAGUCAGAUGUGAAAUCCCCCGGCUCAACCGCGGAACUGCAUUUGAAACUGUUGUUCUUGAGUACCGGAGAGGUCAUCGGAAUGCCUGGUGUAGCGGUGAAAUGCGUAGAUAUAAGGAAGAACACCAGUGGCGAAGGCAGAUGACUGGACGGCAACUGACGGUGAGGCGCGAAAGCGUGGGGAGCGAACAGGAUUAGAUACCCUAGUAGUC
rnacentral:rRNA from 1 species